rnacentral:rRNA from 1 species
AUACGGAGGGAGCUAGCGUUGUUCGGAAUUACUGGGCGUAAGGCGCACGUAGGCGGCUUUGUAAGUUAGGGGUGAAAGCCUGGAGCUCAACUUCAGAAUUGCCCUUAAGACUGCAUCGCUUGAAUCCAGGAGAGGUGAGUGGAAUUCCGAGUGUAGAGGUGAAAUUCGUAGAUAUUCGGAAGAACACCAGUGGCGAAGGCGGCUCACUGGACUGGUAUUGACGCUGAGGUGCGAAAGCGUGGGGAGCAAACAG